rnacentral:lncRNA from 1 species
CACAAAUGUACAGGUUUAUAAGCUGUUUUAUUGUCCUUUCCUAUACCUUGAUCAUCCUUCUAAGUCUCUCCGUAUUUCUCGUGUUACGGCUUUAUAACGAGAGCAGGCAUUAUCAGUGACGUCAUAAUGUCUAAAUAGAAGUUGAAAGCGACGUCGCAAUGUGUGAGGAGACGUUACCAAGCUUGCUUUUGUCAAGUGUAAAACUGUCU